GAAGGACUGAGCCCAGGCUGGGAAAGGUGCCUGGCCUGUGACAGGAAUAGCUGGAGUUUUAAGCUGCAAGCAAGAGCAGUUUGCCUUCAGUAAACUCUGCAACCUGCUUAAAACAACAUUUAGGCUGGGUGUGUCCCUGCCUGCGUGUGCUGGGGAAGGCGAGAGGUCCUGACUCAGCCGGACGGUGAACGCAACAGAUCCCUUCGUCUGGUCAGAGCCCGAGGAGCUGGCGGUAGCUGUUAGGAAAAGGAGCGGGUUGAUCCAGAGAUCCCCACAUUCCGUAUCCAGCUGUGAGCUCAUCUAUCCCCAGCAAGCGGAAGGGGAGGGCGAACGAAAUGGUGCCUGCCUGUGACUUUACUCCCUAACACCGCGCCAGCGGUUACUUAACCCUUACAUGCUGCGACAGUAGCAGAUGAGGGGCCCAGCUCGGUGUCCAGAGCCCCACGCUCAGCUGGAC